UCCUAAAUUAUUUAAGUACGGAGCAAGACGAAUUUUAAAUCUUUUCUUGUUUGAUUUUGAUGAUUGGGGAUAUUUUCUUCUUUUUUUUUGGUUUGCGACAGAAUGUUGUUCAGCGACAGAUUGUCGUCACUUGGAAUAUCAAUGUAGUCAUCAAACUUUUUCUUGGAUGCUCUUCUUUUUUUCUUUUGGGGGUCUGUAGGCUGCAACUCCAUCGUAGAUUUUUUCUUUCUAGACGGGAUUACUCUUUUUGAUUUUUCGGGUGAAUUUUUAUUUUCUUCCUCUUGAGUGGGCUCUUCCUCUAUUUCUCCAACAUCGAUGCUUUCCAUCGGUUGCAUCUUUUGGAUUGCAUU
rnacentral:lncRNA from 1 species